rnacentral:rRNA from 1 species
UACGUAGGGGGCAAGCGUUGUCCGGAAUCAUUGGGCGUAAAGCGCGUGUAGGCGGCUUGGUAAGUCUGCUCUGAAAGCCCGGGGCUCAACCCCGGGAGGCGGGUGGAUACUGUCAAGCUCGAGUCCGGAAGAGGAGUGUGGAAUUCCUGGUGUAGCGGUGAAAUGCGUAGAUAUCGGGAGGAACACCUGUGGCGAAAGCGGCGCACUGGACCACAUCUGACGCUGAGGCGCGAAAGCUAGGGGAGCAAACAGG